rnacentral:tRNA from 1 species
GUCCCCUUCGUCUAGCGGUCUAGGACAUCGCCCUUUCACGGCGAAAACACGGGUUCGAGUCCCGUAGGGGACGCCA